rnacentral:rRNA from 1 species
GUGGGGAAUAUUGCACAAUGGGCGCAAGCCUGAUGCAGCGACGCCGCGUGCGGGAUGACGGCCUUCGGGUUGUAAACCGCUUUCAGCAGGGAAGAAGGGCCUCUUUUUGGAGGUUUGACGGUACUUGCAGAAGAAGCGCCGGCUAACUACGUGCCAGCAGCCGCGGUAAUACGUAGGGCGCGAGCGUUAUCCGGAAUUAUUGGGCGUAAAGAGCUUGUAGGCGGUUUGCCGCGUCUGCUGUGAAAGCCCGGGGCUUAACUCCGGGUGUGCAGUGGGUACGGGCAGGCUAGAGUGCAGUAGGGGAGACUGGAAUUCCUGGUGUAGCGGUGAAAUGCGCAGAUAUCAGGAGGAACACCGAUGGCGAAGGCAGGUCUCUGGGCUGUUACUGACGCUGAGAAGCGAAAGCAUGGGUAGCGAACAGGAUUAGAAACCCUAGUAGUCC